GGGCAAAGAGGCCCAUGCCUGUAAUCCCAGCAACUUGGGAGGUUGAGGCAGGAGGAUCACAAGUUUGAGGCCACCCUGGGCAACUUAGUGAGACCUUGUCUCAA
rnacentral:sRNA from 1 species